UACGUAGGGGGCAAGCGUUGUCCGGAUUCAUUGGGCGUAAAGAGCGUGUAGGCGGCCAGGUAGGUCGGUUGUGAAAACUGGAGGCUCAACCUUCAGAGGUCGACCGAAACCAUCUGGCUAGAGUCCGGGAGAGGAGAGUGGAAUUCCUGGUGUAGCGGUGAAAUGCGUAGAUAUCUGGAGGAACACCGGUGGCGAAGGCGGCAUUCUGGACCGACAUUGACGCUGAGGAGCGAAAGCCAGGGGAGCAAACGGG
rnacentral:rRNA from 1 species